UUGUAUCACUGUGGGAGGGUAACAAACAUGCUGUUGACAGUAAUAAGUGCCAAAAUCUUCAGGCUUCAGGCUGCUGAUGGUGAGAGAAUAAUCUGUCCCAGAUCCACUGCCACUAAACCUGGAUGGGACCCCAGAGGCCA